AACUCAGUUGGUAGAGUGUCAGCUUCCCAAGCUGAAUGUCGCCGGUUCGAGCCCGGUC
rnacentral:tRNA from 1 species